AAUCUAGGAUAUGGACAUUUUCUAAGUAGUUUUGUAAAUCUCUCCCAAGCUUCAUACAAGGAUUCACCUUUAAAUUGUGUGAAUGAGGUAAUAUCAUUCCUCAUCUU
rnacentral:snoRNA from 1 species